GAUGAAGAACGCAGUGAAAUGCGAUAAGUAAUGUGAAUUGCAGAAUUCCGUGAAUCAUCGAAUCUUUGAACGCACAUUGCGCCCUCUGGUAUUCCGGGGGGCAUGCCUGUCCGAGCGUCAUUUGCAACCCUCAAGCCCGGCUUGUGUGAUGGGUGCCGUCCCCUACGGGACGCGCCCCGAAGGCAAUGGCGGCGUCGCGGUUAUCCGAUCAGCCAAAGUGUAUGGGGCUUUGUCACUCACUUUACGGCCCGGACCGGCGCCAGUCCGAAUCAAUCCUUUUUCUAAAGUUGACCUCGGAUCAGGUAGGGAUACCCGCUGAACUUAAGCAUAUCAAUAAGCGGAGGA
rnacentral:misc_RNA from 1 species